UGUUCCCUGCUGUGCACGACAGGGCUCAUACUUCUCGAACCGAUAGCUUCCUUCGGUUGCGGCCUAGUGUCACUGUUGUGAUCGUCCCCCGCGCUUCGCGUGCCGGACGAACCUGAUGUGACCGGAAAGCGACCACCCUGUUUAGCCAGGGUUCGGGAGCCGAGCCCACCGGCACAAGCGGGGGACGC
rnacentral:other from 1 species